rnacentral:rRNA from 1 species
CCUACGGGAGGCAGCAGUCGAGAAUCAUUCACAAUGGGGGAAACCCUGAUGGUGCGACGCCGCGUGGGGGAAUGAAGGUCUUCGGAUUGUAAACCCCUGUCAUGUGGGAGCAAAUUAAAAAGAUAGUACCACAAGAGGAAGAGACGGCUAACUCUGUGCCAGCAGCCGCGGUAAUACAGAGGUCUCAAGCGUUGUUCGGAAUCACUGGGCGUAAAGCGUGCGUAGGCUGUUUCGUAAGUCGUGUGUGAAAGGCGCGGGCUCAACCCGCGGACGGCACAUGAUACUGCGAGACUGGAGUGAUGGAGGGGGAACCGGAAUUCUCGGUGUAGCAGUGAAAUGCGUAGAUAUCGAGAGGAACACUCGUGGCGAAGGCGGGUUCCUGGACAUUAACUGACGCUGAGGCACGAAGGCCAGGGGAGCGAAAGGGAUUAGAUACCCCUGUAGUC